rnacentral:rRNA from 1 species
UUAAACAUGAGAGUUUGAUCCUGGCUCAGGAUGAACGCUGGCGGCGUGCCUAACACAUGCAAGUCGAACGAAGCACAUUAAGUGAAUUCCUUCGGGAAUAAAGUUAAUGUGACUUAGUGGCGGAUGGGUGAGUAACGCGUGGGUAACCUGCCUUGUACAGGGGGAUAACAGUUGGAAACGACUGCUAAAACCGCAUACCUAUAUAGAGUCGCAUGAUUUUAUAUAGAAAUAUUUAUAGGUAUAAGAUGGACCCGCGUCUGAUUA